ACAGCCUACACUGAAGCGUCUGUGUGACAGAACAAAAUGGUCCACUAAAAAGGAGCCAACAAGAUGGUUAUAUUCACUCCAUUGCCAUCCAUAAAUACUGCAACAUGUUACUAAGAAGCAGCCUCUGAUCAUAAGCUUUUGCUGUGCAGCUACAUUUUACAGUAACACAGAUAUUUGCAAGCCAGCUCUGGACCGUCUUUUGAAGCGAUCUCAGACUUCUGAAAAAUUAUCGCAUGAUCUCAAACAUGGUUUUAUUGGAAAACCAAGCACGCCGAAAUCACAGUAGCUACGAUUAAAUGCAUGGUAACAAGGUUUAAUAUGUGUCGAGGAUGGAUACAAACAUGGAACACAAACUAAACUAGUUUAUCAUAGCGCUGAUACAUCCCGCUAAAUGCGGACGGUUGUGUUACUUCAGAAGUGAGAAGAACAAACGAUUACACACAAGUUAAUUUACUGGGGUAGUUGCUCCCCACAUCCUCCUCCAGCACUGAAUACACUUCCUUUUUUGAGGACUGCACAGAAAGAGGCCGUGAGUGACCCACGCUAUUUCUGCAUGAGGGCAUGGCGCGGGAGAGGGUUAUUAUUUACAAUUAUUUACAACACUGUCACUCUUUACCCCCACCUUACACAUGAAAGAGGCAGCAGAUGAUGAUCUUGACAAAAGCCUCCGCAGAGCAGUGCUAGUAAGCAAUUAAGAAAGGACCCACAGCUGGUGAAACGAGUGUUCGAGUGAUUUGACUCAGGCAAAACAGGAGUAUUAGUCUAGUUUUUCCCAGGCCCCAAGUGAUAACCUUAACUCCUGAGCUUUCAUAGCACUGAUAAACACUCUUCCAACAGUUUCACUGCAACUUGAAUUAAAA